UACGAAGGGGGCUAGCGUUGCUCGGAAUCACUGGGCGUAAAGGGUGCGUAGGCGGGUCUUUUAAGUCAGGGGUGAAAUCCUGGAGCUCAACUCCAGAACUGCCUUUGAUACUGAGGAUCUUGAGUUCGGGAGAGGUGAGUGGAACUCCGAGUGUAGAGGUGAAAAUUCGUAGAUAUUCGGAAGAACACCAGUGGCGAAGGCGGCUCACUGGCCCGGUACUGACGCUGAGGUGCGAAAAGCGUGGGGGAGCAAACAGGG
rnacentral:rRNA from 1 species